ensembl:snRNA Rnu6-1267 RNA, U6 small nuclear 1267
GUUUUAUCCAUUUCAGCAGCACAAACCCCAAAACUGGAAUAACACAGAGAAGAUCGGUAUGGCCUCUCUGCAAGAAUGACAUACAAAUUCAUGAGCAGGCCUGCUUUCAC